rnacentral:rRNA from 1 species
GUGCCGAGUAGUGGGGGAUAACGCAGCGAAAGUUGUGCUAAUACCGCAUACGUACUGAGGUAGAAAGUGGGGGACCUUCGGGCCUCACGCUAUUCGAGCGGCCGACGUCUGAUUAGCUAGUAGGUGAGGUAAAGGCUCACCUAGGCGACGAUCAGUAGCGGGUCUGAGAGGAUGAUCCGCCACACUGGGACUGAGACACGGCCCAGACUCCUACGGGAGGCAGCAGUGGGGAAUUUUGGACAAUGGGCGAAAGCCUGAUCCARCCAUGCCGCGUGUCUGAAGAAGGCCUUCGGGUUGUAAAGGACUUUUGUCAGGGAGGAAAUCCCUAGUGCUAAUAACACUGGGGGAUGACAGUACCUGAAGAAUAAGCACCGGCUAACUACGUGCCAGCAGCCGCGGUAAUACGUAGGGUGCGAGCGUUAAUCGGAAUUACUGGGCGUAAAGCGUGCGCGGGCGGUUUGAUAAGCCAGAUGUGAAAUCCCCGAGCUCAACUUGGGAACUGCGUUUGGAACUGUCAGACUAGAGUGCGUCAGAGGGGGGUGGAAUUCCGCGUGUAGCAGUGAAAUGCGUAGAGAUGCGGAGGAACACC